UGGUAAUUAGUUUAAUUAAAAUUAAUGAUUUCGACUCAUUAGAU
rnacentral:tRNA from 1 species